rnacentral:pre_miRNA from 1 species
AAAAAGGCAAACCCUGGGUUUCCGUGUCCAACUUUAACUGUCUGUCUUAUAUGAAAUUUUUUUAUAAUUCGUAUUUUCAUUGUUGUUAGAUGAUAAAACAUGAUUAAUAUUUUAUGUGUGACUUGUCUUUUUAAUUUUUUUCAUAAUUUUUUCAAAUAAGACGGACGGUUAAAUGUUGGGCAUGGAAACCACGGUUUGCCUUUUU